UGAGCAACUAACCAGAGCUUCUCGUGAGA
rnacentral:piRNA from 1 species